CACUUCAGACAAAUGCCACCAAGGAGAAGAGUUUCCAAAGCUGACUUCUCACUUUCGCAGGGAUGUCAGAUACCAUUCCAUCCCCUGCUGACUGCAGAAGUCUGGCAGACCCUGAGCGCAGCAACAGUCCUGCACCCUGCAGUCUAAAAACAGUGGCCUCCCAGGCUGCCUGCGGCAUUUGGGAUCCCAGAAAUGUAAAGACAUGCUGGCUGGCAAUGGGCUGCCUCCUUAAUUACAGGAUAGAGAGUUGAGGAUAAAGACAUCCUGAGUGGGCUAUGUGGCUCUCAUAUAUCUUUGGCAGAGAGAACCUUUCCUCAAUUUCUUCACUCCCUCAUGGACCACCUACGGACAUAAGCUCCCACCAGAGACGCCCAGAUAUAAACACAGGUGUUCAGCACAUCUGCACUAUUGUACUGGAUGGCAGUAAU